CCCCCGCGUGUACAGACGCUUCCUCUGCUGACGCGCCCCGGGCACUCAGCCCUCAUGGCACCCACCCCUCCACGUGGACAGACGCGCCCUGGGCACUCAGCCCUCAUGGCACCCACCCCUCCACGUGGACAGAUGUACCCUGGGCACUCAGCCCUCAUCAUGGCGUCCACCCCUCCGCGUGGACAGACACGCCCCGGGCACUCAGCCCUCAUCAUGGCGUCCACCCCUCCACGUGGACAGACACGCCCCGGGCACUCAGCCCUCAUCAUGGCGUCCACCCCCCAACGUGGACAGACGCGCCCUGGGCACUCAGCCCUCAUCGUGGUGUCCACCCCCCGUGGACAGACGCACCCCGGGCACUCAGCCCUCAUCAUGGCGUCCACCCCCCACGUGGACAGACGCGCCUCGGGCACUCAGCCGUCAUCACGGCAUCCACCCCCCGCGUGGACAGACGCUUCCUCUGCUGACGCGCCCCGGGCUGUACCCACCACAGUCAGGGGAAACACUUCAUGGUUUCUACUGCUUGCUUUCUUUCUUUCACAAAGUUUUAAGAUUUCAAACUUCAGGGAUUAUGUUUUGCUGGAUAAAAUUUAAGUGUGGAAAUCAGACCCCGGCGCUAAGAGAAGGCCAGGCUAGGACGCCUCACUCUCAUUCCCACCCUGACGGACGUCACUGGCAGUGCGCAGGUGCACGGCCGAGCACGGGCCUGCGCGGACGGGCGGGGCUCACCUUCUCGUGCCACUGCAGGAGCACGGCGCUGCUGUUGUCGGAGGGGCUCUCGAAGCCCUUGUAGAUGUACUUCAUGAGCAGGUCCACGCCGUUCCUGUCCAGGGACUGCACGGCCUUUUCUAUGUCGCCGGCCUUGAAGGAGAUGAGCACCUUCAGCACGAUGCUGCCUGCCCGGUCCUGGGGGAACACACGAGGCAACAGCGCGACUCCUGAGUGUGCGGCUGCACCUGCGCAGGGGGGGCCGUGCCGGGGAGGGGAGCCCGGGCGGAGGCCCGCAGGCGGGAACAGGACAGCGCGGUGUCUCAGGAAAGCAGUCAGGCCCAGAGGGGGCGCGUGCUGCCAGUGUGCCCAGGGCCUACGGCAGAACCGCAGCGGGGAGCCAGAGGGGCGCGGAGAGGAGGCUCAUGCGACCGGCGCCCCCCCCCCCCCCCCC
rnacentral:lncRNA from 1 species